rnacentral:rRNA from 1 species
CCCUUAGAUGUUCUGGGCCGCACGCGCGCUACACUGACGAAUGCAACGAGCUUAUAACCUUGGCCGAAAGGUCUGGGUAAUCUCCAAAUUUCGUCGUGAUGGGGAUAGAUUAUUGCAAUUAUUAAUCUUCAACGAGGAAUGCCUAGUAAGCGCAAGUCAUCAGCUUGCGUUGAUUACGUCCCUGCCCUUUGUACACACCGCCCGUCGCUCCUACCGAUGAAUCGUCCGGUGAAGUUCAUGGAGUCGCGGCUGCUCCAGCUGUUUUCGAAGUGAAAUGGACCUCAUGAUUUAGAGGAAGGAGAAGUCGUAACA